UACAGAGGUCUCAAGCGUUGUUCGGAUUCACUGGGCGUAAAGGGCGCGUAGGCGGCCGAUCAAGUCGGAGGUGAAAGCCCAGGGCUCAACCCUGGAAUGGCCUUCGAUACUGGUUGGCUCGAGACCGGAAGAGGUAAGUGGAACUGCGAGUGUAGAGGUGAAAUUCGUAGAUAUUCGCAAGAACACCAGUGGCGAAGGCGGCUUACUGGUCCGGUUCUGACGCUGAGGCGCGAAAGCGUGGGGAGCAAACAGG
rnacentral:rRNA from 1 species